GUGUACAGUUCAGUAGUGUUAAGGUGUGUAGCCAAUCUCCAGACUGUUUUUUUGCUGUUGGUAUUGCAAAACUAAAACUCUAUACCCAUUAAAGGACAGCUCCUCGUUUCCCCCUCCGCCAGCUCCUGGCAGCCAUCAGCCUUUCUGUCUCUGUGGAUUUGACUACUUGAGGUCCCUCACAUAAAUGGAAUCAUAGCGUGUCUGAUGUUUUGGUGACUGGCUUAUUUCAUAUAGAAUCUCUUAGGUAUAAUCUGUUCUCAGACGACUUGAACUGGUUUCAGUGUCCCUAUGAUAGGAUUCUGAUUUUAAUUUUUGCCUAGAACAGUUGUCCAGGGCUAUUAUCUGUUCCCUGGCUUCUGGCAACCUCAGCAUCUUUGCUGAGGGUCAGAGCAGACCCGAUCUUGCUUUGCUAGCUUGACUCAGCUGUCCUGGCCAGCCAGUGUCCUGAGAGGCAAUAGCUCUGCUCAGCUUCUACAAGCCUAUAGAUAUUUCUCCUGCAUGGUCUCUUCUGAGAACCUGCUUUUCUUUUUUUAACAAGAGAGAGAGGGAGAGAGACAUCCAUACAUUACCAUGACUUAGCUCUUGGCACAAAAGCCAGAAAUCAGUGACUGUCUCUCUUUGCAGUAGGGAGAUGGUUUCCUUGGCAACCAAGUAACUCAUUUCCUUCAACUAAAUGACUUGUUCAACUUUAGGGUAAAAGUGUUGUUUCCUCUAGAAUCGUGGUCCUUGACCUUGUGUUCACAUUGAAGUCACCCAGGAAUCUUUAUAAAGCAACCCCAUGCCAGCUCCUCAUCUUUCCAGAGAAUCUGAUUCACUUGGCCUGGGGACAAGGGCCCCAUAUUCUUAUUUUUAAAAAUCUCUUUUAAGUGAAUCUACUGCACAGAGGUGAGGGUCUCUGUCUUGGCGACACUUUGGGUUCAUCUGGAGAGCUUUAAGAGCUACUUGUGCCUGGACUUUGCCCCCAGAAGUUCUGAUCCAGUUGGUCUGAGGCAUGACCUGGGUGGGAGGGCUUUUCUGACUCUCCAGAUGACCCUACUAUGCGGCCGAGACUGAGAGCCACUGUUCUAGCCCGGCUUCUCCCAAACUUGAAACUGUGCAGAAUCACUCUGAGAGCUCGCUGGUUCCUGGGCCCCUCCCCGGAGUCUGAUUUGGUGAGGCUGGCAGGGAGCUUCCUUGCUGCUUCCUAAGUGAUGCUGAGGCUGGUCCUGGGACCCACACUUUGAGGAGCACUGCUCUGCCUAAUGUCUUAUAACUGGCUCAGCCCUACUCUGCUGGCAUUUGUUUCCUGGUUAGUGGUUGGGAGACUUGAUUCAGGCUUGAGACUUCUUAAAGUUACCAAGCAGCUCUUUUUCUGAACAUUUUCAACCUUUAAAUAGACAUUACGAAAUCUUUUUAAAGCAAAGUUAACUAGAUUUCCUCUCCCAGGGUUAGGAGGCUCGGCAUGUGCUUGAAUUAAGAUUCAUCUGUUCCUGGAGUAGGGAUGCAUUUGGGGAUUAGUGCUAAGGGGCUGGAGUCUCUGGAGUUGGUGACCAGCCUGUGUCUGGGUGAGGGUCUCCCCGUGAUGAGUGCUGGGAUAAGAUCAGGGCACCACAGUGCUCUCUUGAACACAAAGCUGGGGCUGGUGCUCUGCCCACCAUGCCUAUGGAAAACAAACCAGGUGGUGAUGAGGCAGCAUCCCACAGACUUGGGCUGAUGUGAGCCAGGGUUCACACCUGCCUUAUGCUCCUCCUUUCUUUCCCACCUUCUGUUGGAAAAGGCUCAAGUUGAAACCAGCGAGCUAGUGCUGAGAUCCUGCCUCAGUCUCUUCUGCCUCCAACUAGAGGCCAGUCCCCUGCCCCUUCCUUCUGAAGAUACCCAUAGUCGUGUGGCCCCAGCGAGCCCUUUAUCACUGUGGCAGCUCACAAUUUCACAUUCAGCUACAAAAUGUAUGAGCAACCUUGAACAUCUUAAAGAUUUGUUAAAGGAGGAAAUAAUUGCUAUUUUUUUUCUGAAACAAGGUCAAAGCACACCUCACUUCCCAGGGCCACUUACCCAGUAAGUUCACUCAGCCUCAGGCAGUUGGGGACUCUGGUGAAGGAGAAUUAAUUUUGAGCCCCUGUAGUAGAUGCUAUAAAGCUCUGUAUCAAAGACCAAACAUCUUGCUAACAGCAAAUCCCUCACGGCAUUCAUGGAAUUUAAUUUUAAAUUCAAUUCCAGUGAACUUGAUUCUGGUUUCUAAUAAUAAAGCAAAUUAAGAGAAUGACAACAGGUGCUAGAUUUAGCAAGAAGCGGCAGCUAAUAGACUAAUAUAAUGGCAUUAAAAAGACCAAAGCUAUACAUCUCAGAAAAUACCAAGUGAUCUGAUGCUAUUUAGUGCGGGGGCCAAUAUGUAGUAACAACCCCAAGGGCAACAAAUAACCCCUCAUAGCAGCCCAUCCUGUGGUGUCCACAGCCACGCAGAGGUAUGAAAAUGCCCAAACAGCAUUCAGUAGACUGUGUUUAAGGAGGCAGAGAAGUGCUUUAUCCACUUGGAAUUAUUUUCAUCCCCAAGCACUUGAAACACAUUCAUCGAAAUCUUGGUGCUUAAAGGAUUAGCCCUCAGUUAUCUUGAAGUUCAGGUUGGUGAAGUUCAAGUUCAUUAUCUGAUCAUACAGGAUUCAUGAGCUGGGUAAGCUCUUUGAGACUUAGUUUCUCUCUGACAUUUGCCGCGCCCCCCUCCCCCGCCCCCACCGCAAGGUGGAGGGUGAAGGACACCCCUUCGGCCGUCCUGCUUUACAGGGAAUGUGCAGGGUUGGUGGUGGUGGCCGGUGGUGGCCAGGUGUCCUCGGCUUCCGACUGUGGUGUCUCGACUGCACGUGGGAGGGGAUCUGGAUCUCAGCUGGGGCCAGGGCUGUCUCUGCAGUGACUCUGCCUGGAUUUAUCUGUGAAUUUAAGAAUAGGCCUGUUUGUUCGUCUUCCCGUGAAAGUGAACACUUCUGCUUUCUACACACCUUCAUCACCCAUUUUCUCACCAGCCCUCGCUGUGUUCCUAGGAGGAGGGAAAGGCAGUGAGCGGCCUGCAGACUGGACUGAGGCCGGGAAAGAUGACAGAGGUGUGUCCUGGGUCGCAAGGAAUGCUGGUGGGACCCUGCUAGGGUACCCAAGCUCCCCAACGGGCAGGGGGAGGUGGCCCUAACUUCCUCCCACCCUAAGGCCCUUCUGUUUUCUUCCCUCUGGGUUAGCCGGUUGCCUGGUGUCAGGUUCAGGCCUGGGGCUUACCCCUGGUCACAUACCCUGCCCAGCAUCUGUGGGGAGGGUCCUCUUUGGUAUUCGUUCCUCUCUGGGCCCCCAGCAUUGGGAGCUAUACCUGGUGGGGUGAGAGAGUGGCAGUUUUACUUGGCAGAGGAUCAGCCAAGGCCACAGGCCUGAGCACAGCAGGCGUGAGGAGGUGGUUGGCAGUUGAUCCAGUGGUGCCCCCCGUUGCUGUGCUUGUUUGUGGGGGGCUGGGGGUGUCCCGAGUGACAGCUCCUGCCAGCCUCCCUGCCCCUCCUCCACAGGACCCUCAGCCUCUGCUGGGGCUGGCUUCUGAGCAAGUCACUCUUCCCAAGUUUUUUUGGGGGGCAGGUGGUCCUCCCUGAGGCUUCCAUACUCUGCACACAUGUUUUAGGGGUGCAACAGGGUCUUUGAGGCCUGCCAAUUCCCUUUCUGGACCCAACUAACCUCUCUUCAGAAAGCCAUAACUCUUCUUCAAAGCUGUAUUGUGUAAACUGUGAAAUAUAUGUAAAUGUGUAUGUAUUUUUUAAACUCACACGUUAACUCAAUGCGCGUACAAGAAGUCGUCCACUGCUACAGUUUGGAGUCGAACCUCUGCCACCCGGCUGCUCAAGUGAAGGCAGGACAGAUGAUGGGGGUCCACGAGGGAGCUGUGGAAACCUCCUCCCUACAGCCACAUGCUCCCAGGCUCAAUGUCGGUUUCCAGGAGCUCACGCGAAGGCAGCCAGUGACGUGCUCCCGAGGGGCUGGCGGCGGCGACUCGCCCCUGUGUGGCCUCCUGUGUGUGAAGACAAAGUGGCCUUGCGGGUGUGACCUCCACAUGCUCCUCAAACCCAUCCCGCCGUGCUUUCCUCUCCCAAGAGCCGCAUCACGCUGCACUGCGCUCCAUAGAGCCUUUCCCCCUGGAGAAGAAAAGGGAGGCUGAGAUGUCGUUUGCUGGGCUGCACAGAAACUCAGUCUGGACGUGGAGCUGGAGCAUUGCUUUUUUAAAAAAAAAAAAUCCCUCUCUUGCUCUGGUUGAUUUGCUCCCUCCGUUUGUCCUGGAGAGAAACGCUCUGUGCCCCUCCGGAGUGUUGGGAAGAUGAGGUUGCAGUCAUUAUUUUCAUGCAAAUUUUGCUGAGGAGCAGGGGUUCAUAGAAACUCUUGCAGCCUCAUUCUAGCUUGUGUGCGGCUCUCCUUGAGUGAUCCUGAAGUGGUGACUGUGACCUAACGCCUGAGAAUGUAAUCAGGGUAAUUUGUAUCUGUCACUGUGUUUGAAAAGCCCUCAAUUCCACCCAAUAAAACCAGUCAAGUGGCUCAUCUAGCUCAGA